CCUUUUAAAAAAAAAAAGCUUAGUCUCAAGAGGCCUAAAUAAUCACGAACUGCAUCUGCUGUUUCAAACAGAGUUGUGUAUUAUGCUGCGUGGAGCCCCCUUCUUCCUAUGACCUGUCAUAAUAAGAGCUGAGCAUUGAGAACCAGGCUGUUCUUAAUAAGACAAAAAAAAAAAGUAAGUCAACUACAGUAUCUUUGGUCUGGUCUUGCAAUCAACAUGCCUGUGUAAAUGGAGCAAUUUCACCUUCAGAAACAGUGUCCUAGUACCAGCAUGUUCAAGCAGCUGACUCAACCUUGUGUGAAAGCAUCUAGCAGCCUGGCUUGUGGAAUACAUAGGCUGCCUCAAUGUUCUUUUGUUACUCCUGUGUAGCUGUUUUCGAUACUGGCAUCAGCUCAUUUCAAUUUUCAAACUGACAACUUCAAGUAUUUUUCUUUACUUGGUAUUUAAAAUUAGAUAAGGAAACAUAGUUUUCCAAGAUAGUUUACUAUCUUUCAGUUUCAGAGCAUAUUUUCAGUAAUAGUGAGGUAAACAAAAGACCUUUUUUACAGUCUUUCAAUAUUAAUAUGAUAGGAAAAAAGGAUACAUUGUUUUCCCAUUAUAGAUGACAUUUUAGUAACAUUA